GCGAGGGGCGGGGUCGGCCCGUCUUCCACCAAUCCCGGCCUGCCAGGGAGCGGUGGCCAAUCACGUGCUGCUACGUAAGCCAACGGCGCCGCUCUCAGGAGCUAGGCCCGAGUAUUGCCCGGGCUGCAGUGAAGGGGGAGGAGUCUGAGGACAUUACUGGAGGGUUCGGAUCUCGAACCUGGGGCCUUGAAGAGGCCCGCGCUUGGGGUUUUUAGGCAACAGCAGGCCUCCAAGCAGAGUCCUGGUGUCCCGGACCGAAUCACUCCCCGAGAGACGGGCAAGGAGAUGGACCGCCAGCCAGGAAUAAUGGGAACCCUUCGCUUGGCAAACGAUAGUUUCCAAACUUAAGGUUGUGGAUGAAACUUUUUGGUGCGGCUGCUGCAGGAGCCCCAGCCCCGGGGUGCUGCUGACCCGAGGCAAGGGAGCCGGCGCACUCACGCUUAGCCGCUAAGGAGUCUGCGGUGUCGGCGAAAGCUCCGGACAUGAUUUUGGAAGAUACGGGGUUUCUCCAUGUUGAUGUCAGACUGGUCUCGAACUCCCGACCUCAGGUGAUCCACCCGCCUCGGCCCCCCAAAGUGCUGGCAUUACAAGCGUGAAUCACUGCGCCCGGCCUAUCAUAAAUUUUAAAAAUUAUAAAGGAUGUAAUUUCUGGCAUAGUAUAAAUAUCGUCAUUAUUUAAUGAAACUUUCACGUUUCUCAUGUAAAUAUACCCAGUUGAGUGUAACUCUGAUAGCUACCAUCAACUAUUUAUAAAAUAUCUGAACACUUAAAAGCAGACAUUUUAUAUCACUAUUUCUUCUGGAAACUUUAUUUCCAUUCUAUAUGGAAUUUUUUCUCAUUGUAAUUUGCAUUUAUAAUGGAAAGGCAUAUUGAUAAUGUAUCAUCAUCUGCAAUAAAAAUAUAUUAAUUUUAAAAAUUUUCCUGGAAGAAAAAUGUUAAACUUAUUCUUUUGGGUUAUCUUUCAGUUAUUACAAAGUUGAUUACAACAACAUGAGUAAGUCUUAAGCUUUGAUUAAAAAUUACAGGACAAAAAAAUUUUUAUUGAAAAUAGAGCUCUUAAAAAGAUGCUUGGUAUAAAUAAGUCAUGCUUCUGUUAAUGACAGGACUAGUUAAAAGGAUAAGAUUUGUAUGUCUGUGUCUCUUGUAAAAUUGAAUCAUCAAUUCUUAAGAAGCGAAACCAGGAUAUAUAAGUAUUACAUAAUAUGCCCAGAAAGUAAUGUGAACAAAAUUCAGACGUACGUUGAAGCUCCCAUUUUAAGAAUCACUCAUAUGACAAAUGUCAUCUUUUGCUCUAUAACCUUUGCUUAAAUUGUAGAAAAGAUGGAUUUAAUGAGACAAAUGAAAAGUGGUUUAACAUAACACACAGCAGAGCAUAUGCUGUUAUGCUUUGGUGUUUGUUCCCUAGCCCUUGUUCCUCAUAAUAGAUUGUGGAAUGUUUCAAAAAUGCUGUAACUUUUUUUUGCUAAUUGUGGUCUUAACAAAAAUUGUUCUUGAUUUUAAAAAAAGAUGGAUAGGAUUGGUUAUUGAACUUUGAUAUUAAAUAAAGUUUUAGUGAUAGUA